UUACUUUGAUUAAUGAGUAGCAUAAAAUGUGCACACAAAUUGAGAAGAUUAGCAUGAUCUCUGUGCAAGAAUGACACUCCCAAAUUGAGAAGAUUAUCAUGAUCAU
rfam:Solanum tuberosum cultivar DM 1-3 516 R44 scf00133_76, whole genome shotgun sequence.